CGGGUCCCAAUAUUUACCUAUUGAGUUUGAUCUGUUUCCCCGAAGGGACGAGCAACCGUAAACAUCAAAUAUUGUCAAAAUGAGGUUUUUUCCGAAGAGAGGUGAAAGAGGUUACGGCAGGUGGAAAUUGGUUAAAUACUGAUGAAAAAUCGAAGGGCGAGCUGACUAAAAGAAUAGGGGUGUGAUUGAGGAAACGCUGUUAAGGUUAACUGACGAAGAGAUCGGUGGAUUCUGUUUCAUAACUCUAACAUAUUUCCAGAAUUUCAAAGGACAAGAUGCAAUUGUGCUUUCAGUGUGCCUAAUAUAAGUUUGAUAGUCGUUUUUCUUCUGGCACCUGUAUUUAGCUCUGAGUUCAGAAAAUGUGAGAUAGUUUGAAGGUAAUUGAAUUUAAACAAAUUUUCAAAAUAUUGCGUUUUAUUGAGUUGAUAUUCAAUAUUCAUCGAUUUAUCUAUUAUAAUCUUUUGUGUCAUAUUUUUUUUAUUUUUUUUUUUUUUGUGCGAAUUAAUUGGGUUUGUUAAUUAUUAUUUUGGGUGUGUAAAAUCAUACCUACACAAUUAUAUUCAUCGAAAAUAUUAUCUCCAUCCAUAUUCCUGUCAAUUUGUUAUUUAUUAUUUUUCAAAGCUCAUAUUGUGCUAUUUUGAAUGGCAUACUAUGCUAGCAAUACAUACGUAUUUUUUUCAUAUAUUAGUUUUUCAUUUAGACAUGUAUAAUAAUAUGAAAAUAAAGUGGUUAAAAAAGGACUAUCUUUUAAAAAUGAGAUAAAAGGCAUCCCAUUUUUCGUUCGUCGAACACGAUGAUCAAAAAAGGGACGUAUUUUCAACCUAGCCUAAAUGCAGGCACAUAAUCAGAAGGGGUUUAAGAGUACAACUAAACCUCACCCCAACCGAAAUUUUAAAAAUACAUCAUACUCUAAUUCUAAAGUUCAAAAUGAUUAAUAUUUUUGGACUUAUGAACAACCGUAUUAUCAACAAUAUGCUUAUUCACCUAAGUAAUAUGAGC